rnacentral:rRNA from 1 species
UACCGCAUAAGCGCACAGUGCUGCAUGGCACAGUGUGAAAAACUCCGGUGGUAUGAGAUGGACCCGCGUCUGAUUAGCUAGUUGGUGGGGUAACGGCCUACCAAGGCGACGAUCAGUAGCCGGCCUGAGAGGGUGAACGGCCACAUUGGGACUGAGACACGGCCCAAACUCCUACGGGAGGCAGCAUG